ACAAUGGAGGUAAAAGAAAAUGCAGCAGGAGAAGACAGGGAAGGAUGGUGGACUACCUCCCAAAGUGGACGCUAAAGACAUGGGACUCCCCAGGGCGCCCAUUUUUUUCAAGGUUAAUAGAUUGUCAUCUUGUUCUGGGACCCACAAAAUAUGUAGCUGGAUCUGAUAACUGUGCCCACUGAGGAAAAAAACUUGGAUCGCUGUUUUAGCUGACCCAGUCGUGCUCAGAACACAGGUAUUUCUCUCCGUGGCUUAUGGAAAUAGCAUGAGAGUUCUGCUUCUAGGAAGAACACAUGACAUUUGUUUAGUAAGACUGAAUAGCCCGCCAGGACUGCCUGGGGCCUCUGAGUGUGGUGAUACGAUGGACUUUUUUUUCCCCCUUAUUUUCCUUUUAUUUUCAAUUCUAGGGAAACAAGAAAUGCAUUUUCAUGACUUUGAUCUUAUCUACCACAGCUCUUUGUACA